GUCGAACGGCAGCACGGACUUCGGUCUGGUGGCGAGUGGCGAACGGGUGAGUAAUAUAUCGGAACGUGCCCAGUCGUGGGGGAUAACGUAGUGAAAAUUACGCUAAUACCGCAUACGAUCUAAGGAUGAAAGCGGGGGAUCGCAAGACCUCGCGCGAUUGGAGCGGCCGAUAUCAGAUUAGGUAGUUGGUGAGGUAAAGGCUCACCAAGCCAACGAUCUGUAGCUGGUCUGAGAGGACGACCAGCCACACUGGAACUGAGACACGGUCCAGACUCCUACGGGAGGCAGCAGUGGGGAAUUUUGGACAAUGGACGCAAGUCUGAUCCAGCCAUUCCGCGUGCAGGACGAAGGCCUUCGGGUUGUAAACUGCUUUUGUACAGAACGAAAAGGUCUCUAUUAAUACUAGGGGCUCAUGACGGUACUGUAAGAAUAAGCACCGGCUAACUACGUGCCAGCAGCCGCGGUAAUACGUAGGGUGCAAGCGUUAAUCGGAAUUACUGGGCGUAAAGCGUGCGCAGGCAGUUAUGUAAGACAGAUGUGAAAUCCCCGGGCUCAACCUGGGAACUGCAUUUGUGACUGCAUAGCUGGAGUGCGGCAGAGGGGGAUGGAAUUCCGCGUGUAGCAGUGAAAUGCGUAGAUAUGCGGAGGAACACCGAUGGCGAAGGCAAUCCCCUGGGCCUGCACUGACGCUCAUGCACGAAAGCGUGGGGAGCAAACAGGAUUAGAUACCCUGGUAGUCCACGCCCUAAACGAUGUC
rnacentral:rRNA from 1 species